UACUCGUCGUUAGUUGGUCGGGACGGGGUACGGGAGUAAACGGUACCGUGGGUCGAACCUACGCCGUCGUACCGGGGACGGUAACACUUAGAAAUAGGUGCUAAUACCGCAUAAUAGGGAAUACCGCAUGGUAAUCCUUUGAAAACUCCGGUGGUACAGGAUGGGCCCGCGUCUGAUUAGCCAGUUGGCGGGGUAACGGCCCACCAAAGCGACGAUCAGCAGCCGGCCUGAGAGGGUGGACGGCCACACUGGGACUGAGACACGGCCCAGACUCCUACGGAAGGCAGCAG
rnacentral:rRNA from 1 species